UCUGUGAGAACGCACCAGGAGCUGCCUCCAUGUCUGACAGAACCAAUUUAAAAAUAAACCUGUUGGUGUCAAAAGCUGAGCCUAUCAGCAGUGCUGGUGGCACUUUUGUGAGACCACAUUUUAAAAACAGUAAAAUAAAAUUUUGAGUGGUGUAUGUGUGAGAGAGAGUUCUAAGAAAGAUGUGAGAGAAACAUCCCAGCAGACAUCAAAGUGAGAAAAGAAGGAAAGCAGGUGUGCUCUGGGCAUCAGAGCAGAGGUUCCCCUCCAUCUCUUGGAGAAGAUCAUCAUGAAGCUCUUAGUCCUCCUGUAGCCCAUGGACAACCAUGGUUGAGCAGAUAUUCACCCUACAACCCAUGCUGGAGCAGGUUGAUCUGUCCUGAAGGAAACUGCAGCCCACAGAGAGACCACACUGUGCAACACAAAAUAGCACUUCAGAACGAGAUAGAAUUGUCCAUUUCAGCAGGGAGAGAUCUGCCAUGAUCAUCCAACUACCUGACCACCUCAGGGCUGACCGAAAGGUUCUCUUCCUUGCCCUGUGUUAAAACCUUUGAUACAGACUUGUUUUGUGGAAUGGAGUGCAACUUGUUCAUUCGUAGCCGUUCCCUGACAGAAAACAAACCUCUUUUUACCCACCAUGGGUAUAUUCCUACUUUGCAGCAGUAUGGAGCCACAUUGUUCCUGAUAAAGUACUUCAUUCUCUCUGACUUCAGAAGCCUAAAAAAACAGAUGCCACCAUUUCAGUUCACUGUAUGAACUCCCUAUGUGGUUGAAGGGCAGAAAAAAGAACUUCCAGAAUGACUUUGAUGUCAUAUUUGCAUAAACAACUAAAAUAAGUUUGGUGAAUCAUUCCUGACAAGAACCAUAUUUUUGCCAUUGAAUGUAAGUGCCAUCUAAAUUACAAGCGUGGAUAUAGAUAGCUUCACUGCAGUCUGUGAAGGACAGAUGAAGUUAAAAGCAUCAGUCAUUAUGAUCAUGAUGCAAAAGAUGUGUAGAACACCAGAGGAAA